rnacentral:rRNA from 1 species
UACGGAGGGUGCAAGCGUUAUCCGGAUUCACUGGGCUUAAAGGGUGCGUAGGUGGGCAGGUAAGUCAGUGGUGAAAUCUCUGAGCUUAACUCAGAAACUGCCGGUGAUACUAUCUGUCUUGAAUAUAGUGGAGGUGAGCGGAAUAUGUCAUGUAGCGGUGAAAUGCUUAGAUAUGACAUAGAACACCCAUUGCGAAGGCAGCUCGCUACACUAUCAUUGACACUGAGGCACGAAAGCGUGGGGAUCAAACAGG